GCAUAUCAAUAAGCGGAGGAAAAGAACCCAACAGGGAUUGCCCCAGUAACGGCGAGUGAAGCGGCAACAGCUCAAAUUUGAAAUCUGGCCCUCGGGUCCGAGUUGUAAUUUGUAGAGGAUGCUUUUGGCGAGGUGCCUUCCGAGUUCCCUGGAACGGGACGCCAUAGAGGGUGAGAGCCCCGUCUGGUCGGACACCGAGCCUCUGUAAAGCUCCUUCAACGAGUCGAGUAGUUUGGGAAUGCUGCUCAAAAUGGGAGGUAUAUGUCUUCUAAAGCUAAAUAUUGGCCAGAGACCGAUAGCGCACAAGUAGAGUGAUCGAAAGAUGAAAAGCACUUUGAAAAGAGGGUUAAAAAGUACGUGAAAUUGUUGAAAGGGAAGCGCCUAUGACCAGACUUGCGCCCGGUGAAUCAUCCAGCGUUCUCGCUGGUGCACUUUGCCGGGCACAGGCCAGCAUCAGUUUGGCGCGGGGGAAAAAGGCUUCGGGAAUGUGGCUCCCUCGGGAGUGUUAUAGCCCGCUGCGUAAUACCCUGCGCCGGACUGAGGUACGCGCAUCGCAAGGAUGCUGGCGUAAUGGUCAUCAGCGACCCGUCUUGAAACACGGACCAAGGAGUCGUCUUCGUAUGCGAGUGUUCGGGUGUCAAACCCCUACGCGUAAUGAAAGUGAACGCAGGUGAGAGCUUCGGCGCAUCAUCGACCGAUCCUGAUGUUCUCGGAUGGAUUUGAGUAAGAGCAUACGGGGCCGGACCCGAAAGAAGGUGAACUAUGCCUGUAUAGGGUGAAGCCAGAGGAAACUCUGGUGGAGGCUCGCAGCGGUUCUGACGUGCGAAUCGAUCGUCAAAUAUGGGCAUGGGGGCGAAAGACUAAUCGAACCUUCUAGUAGCUGGUUUCCGCCGAAG
rnacentral:rRNA from 1 species